rnacentral:rRNA from 1 species
GGCGAACGGGUGAGUAACACGUGGGUAAUCAACCCCCGACACCGGGAUAGCCCAGGAAACUUGGAUUAAUACCGGAUGCUCCGUCUGGCCUUCGGGCCGGCCGGAAAAGGGUAGCUUCGGCCUCCGGUCGGGGACGAGCCCGCGGCGGAUUAGCUUGUUGGUGAGGUAAAGGCUCACCAAGGCGACGAUCCGUAGCUGGUCUGAGAGGACGAUCAGCCACACUGGGACUGAGACACGGCCCAGACUCCUACGGGAGGCAGCAGUAGGGAAUCUUGCGCAAUGGGCGAAAGCCUGACGCAGCGACGCCGCGUGAGGGAAGAAGGCCUUCGGGUUGUAAACCUCUUUCAGGAGGGACGAAGCCACUCGGGUUAAUAGCCUAGAGGGUGACGGUACCUCCAGAAGAAGCCCCGGCUAACUACGUGCCAGCCGCCGCGG